rnacentral:rRNA from 1 species
AUUGAACGCUGGCGGCAGGCCUAACACAUGCAAGUCGAACGAGUGGCGGACGGGUGAGUAAUGUCUGGGAAACUGCCUGAUGGAGGGGGAUAACUACUGGAAACGGUAGCUAAUACCGCAUACCAUCAUAUGUGCCCAGAUGGGAUGGGCUGGGUGGUGGGGUAAUGGCUCACCAAGGCGACGACCCCUAGCUGGUCUGAGAGGAUGACCAGCACAACUGGAACUGAGACACGGUCCAGACUACUGCGGGGGGCAGCAGUGGGGAAUAUUGCAAAAUGGGCGCAAGCCUGAUGCAGCCAUGCCGCGUGUAUGAAGAAGGCCUUCGGGUUGUAAAGUACUUUCAGCGGGGAGGCGUUACCCGCAGAAGAAGCACCGGCUAACUCCGUGCCAGCAGCCGCGGUAAUUC